rnacentral:lncRNA from 1 species
GGGAAUGAAUCUAAGCCUCCAGAGACAGCGCCUCCUGCUGCCUGAACGAGAACUGCACCUUUCUCUGCAAGGAUCUCUGGAUUUGUGUGAAAACUGAGCCCCAGACAGGUUAAGGGGCUUUCCUAAAGUUGCACAAACCCUGUCAUCCAUGGGAGCUUACCACGUGGAUGCAGAAGCUUUUGUGAGGGGCAGCCCGGACCAUCUUUUGGACUUAAUAUACCGAUAUGAAGAUUCAGAUGCAUCUACUCCUCGGUUGGGUGGAAGAGUGAUCCAGGUUGGCAGCCGUCUUGUUGAUGUCCCCUAUGUCAUCCAGAGGGCAGGAGCGGGCAGCUCUCUACCUUGGCAACUGGUUCCUCUCUCUCCAGCUUCAUCUUUUCCAUUGUUUUUUGUUUGUUUGCUUGUUUUUGUUUUUCAUUUUUACCUUUUACAGAUUGAUUUAAACAUUUUUUAAACCAC